rnacentral:rRNA from 1 species
GACGAACGCUGUUGGCGUGCUUAACACAUGCAAGUCGAACGGAAAGGCCCUGCUUUUGUGGGGUGCUCGAGUGGCGAACGGGUGAGUAACACGUGAGUAACCUGCCCUUGACUUUGGGAUAACUUCAGGAAACUGGGGCUAAUACCGGAUAGGAGCUCCUGCUGCAUGGUGGGGGUUGGAAAGUUUCGGCGGUUGGGGAUGGACUCGCGGCUUAUCAGCUUGUUGGUGGGGUAGUGGCUUACCAAGGCUUUGACGGGUAGCCGGCCUGAGAGGGUGACCGGCCACAUUGGGACUGAGAUACGGCCCAGACUCCUACGGGAGGCAGCAGUGGGGAAUAUUGCACAAUGGGCGGAAGCCUGAUGCAGCAACGCCGCGUGCGGGAUGACGGCCUUCGGGUUGUAAACCGCUUUCGCCUGUGACGAAGCGUGAGUGACGGUAAUGGGUAAAGAAGCGCCGGCUAACUACGUGCCAGCAGCCGCGGUGAUACGUAGGGUGCGAGCGUUGUCCGGAUUUAUUGGGCGUAAAGGGCUCGUAGGUGGUUGAUCGCGUCGGAAGUGUAAUCUUGGGGCUUAACCCUGAGCGUGCUUUCGAUACGGGUUGACUUGAGGAAGGUAGGGGAGAAUGGAAUUCCUGGUGGAGCGGUGGAAUGCGCAGAUAUCAGGAGGAACACCAGUGGCGAAGGCGGUUCUCUGGGCCUUUCCUGACGCUGAGGAGCGAAAGCGUGGGGAGCGAACAGGCUUAGAUACCCUGGUAGUCCACGCUGUAAACGGUGGGUACUAGGUGUGGGGUCCAUUCCACGGGUUCCGUGCCGUAGCUAACGCUUUAAGUACCCCGCCUGGGGAGUACGGCCGCAAGGCUAAAACUCAAAGGAAUUGACGGGGCCCCGCACAAGCGGCGGAGCAUGCGGAUUAAUUCGAUGCAACGCGUAGAACCUUACCUGGGUUUGACAUGGAUCGGGAGUGCUCAGAGAUGGGUGUGCCUCUUUUGGGGUCGGUUCACAGGUGGUGCAUGGCUGUCGUCAGCUCGUGUCGUGAGAUGUUGGGUUAAGUCCCGCAACGAGCGCAACCCUUGUUCACUGUUGCCAGCACGUUAUGGUGGGGACUCAGUGGAGACCGCCGGGGUCAACUCGGAGGAAGGUGGGGAUGACGUCAAGUCAUCAUGCCCCUUAUGUCCAGGGCUUCACGCAUGCUACAAUGGCUGGUACAGAGAGUGGCGAGCCUGUGAGGGUGAGCGAAUCUCGGAAAGCCGGUCUCAGUUCGGAUUGGGGUCUGCAACUCGACCUCAUGAAGUCGGAGUCGCUAGUAAUCGCAGAUCAGCAACGCUGCGGUGAAUACGUUCCCGGG